rnacentral:rRNA from 1 species
UACGGGGGGGGCAAGCGUUGUUCGGAAUUACUGGGCGUAAAGGGUUCGUAGGUGGCCAACUAAGUCAGACGUGAAAUCCCUCAGCUCAACUGGGGAACUGCGUCUGAUACUGGUCGGCUUGAGUGCAGGAGAGGAACGCGGAAUUCCAGGUGUAGCGGUGAAAUGCGUAGAUAUCGGGAGGAACACCAGUGGCGAAGGCGACUUCCUGGCCUGUUCUUGACGCUGAGGCGACGAAAGCUAGGGUAGCAAACGGGG